GUAAGCAUUUAUCCCUCCUGGGAAAGAAUCAAGUGCUUUGGGGAGUGGAUAGGAGAGAACUACAACAUUAAGUUGCUUCUCCUUCCACCAGCACCCAACCCCACACCCUGAGGCCUCCCAGCAAAGAUUCAUGAAGUGAUGCCCAGUUGGCCACCUCUGCUCCACGUGCUGUUCCUCAUGUUCUGGAUACUGGGGUCUCCUUUGGAGGGGUACAGAGCUGUGUGAGAACAUCAAGGGCUGCAGUGAAAAAUCAACUCCUUUUAACAUGUGACAUGAACCCUGGCGCUGUAAGCAUGACCUCAGGAGAAGAGCCUGGGAAGAGAGCUGUCACUGGGGAGACUGCUGGGCAGCACACAGAUGGCAAGGGACACAGCCUCACUCUGAAGAGCAAGGCUAAACCCAUGCAAGAUCAUACCUGUUCUUGUCAGGCAGUCCCAUCCAGCCCAGCACUAAGUCAGGAUAACAAGCUUAGAGGAUAAAUUCUCCCCUGCCAGAAUUUGUUUCUCUGCUGCCAGCCACCUCAGCAUUUAGCAAAACCCCAUUCUUUGCUCACUUCCAGGCUGCUUAAAGCAAAGGCGGGUACAGACCACCCUCCUCAAGUUUUGGAUUCAGUCCCACAAUCUUUUUUCAUGCAGGCUGCUGUACUUGUUCCCAAUCCUCCCACCUCUGGAGGUGCUCGAGCCUCCCCAGCGCCUGCAGCCGGCAGGAACACUCUGGGGCAGGACGGCAGAGCUCACAUUGACCUGAGACCCCGUGGCAGAACUGCUGCCUGCUGGUGUGGGAACAACCAGCUGUGUCCAUCAGCAGCAAGGAGGGUUCUUCUCAGGAGCCCUUGCAAGGUGUCUGAAGAGGCUGUUCAGGGCAGCUCAGCAACAUUGAUAAGUAAGUUGGCAAGAACUUGCGAUUUUCCUGUAUUUUUCAGAUGUUGCUUGGUUUUGAGACACUGCUGGUGUUGGACAGUUUGGAAGUGCCUUUCCUACGCCUCUGGAAGCCAUGCAGGCUCUCAGUUGUGUGCCAUGCUUUUUGUUAAAGGAGCUUUCUCUCAGCAGCACUUCAGAGCCUCCCAAGAGUCCAGAAAUAUAUAAAGUACUUAGGAAAAGAGGCCAGAUUUGCAGAAAUCUGGGAAUACCACUCAGAGGCAGAGGAGUUUGGGGUGCUCUGGUUAUCCAGCAACUCUAAAAAACCCAGCUGUGACAUGCAGAGCAGGAGGUACACCAGUGAAAUGCUCCAGUAACGUGCUUUUUAGCAGCAUCCUGAAAGGACUUUCUCUUCCAGGCUUUGAGUGCUGGGCAUGGUACUCAUCUCUGGUGGCCCUUUUCACAGCACUUUUGUU